AUUUAACUGACAAGUCUCAAAUAGGACGAAAUGCGCAACCUGAAU
rnacentral:hammerhead_ribozyme from 1 species